rnacentral:rRNA from 1 species
CCUACGGGAGGCAGCAGUGGGGAAUAUUGCGCAAUGGGCGAAAGCCUGACGCAGCGACGCCGCGUGAGGGAUGAAGGUCUUCGGAUCGUAAACCUCUGUUAGCAGGGAAGAACGGUCACUGUGCUAAUCAGCAGUGAAUUGACGGUACCUGCAAAGGAAGCACCGGCUAACUCCGUGCCAGCAGCCGCGGUAAUACGGAGGGUGCGAGCGUUAAUCGGAAUUACUGGGCGUAAAGCGCUCGUAGGUGGUAUGUCAAGUCAAGGGUGAAAUCCCCGCGCUCAACGUGGGAACUGCCUUUGAAACUGGCAGACUGGAGUGUGUGAGAGGAUAGUGGAAUUCCAGGUGUAGGAGUGAAAUCCGUAGAUAUCUGGAGGAACAUCAGUGGCGAAGGGGACUAUCUGGCACAUAACUGACGCUGAGGAGCGAAAGCGUGGGUAGCAAACAGGAUUAGAUACCCCAGUAGUC